rnacentral:lncRNA from 10 species
CACAUAAGAUAUGACUUGCCUCCCCAGCCACAUGGAACUAUGGGGUCUCGCUCUGUCCUGGAGUGCAAUGGCACGAUCUUGGCUCACUGCAACCUCCGCCUCCCAGGUUCAAGCAAUUCUCCUGCCUCAGCCUCCCGAGUAGCUGGGACUACAGGCACACGCCAACACGCCAGGCUAAUUUUUUGUAUUUUUAAUAGAGAUGGAGUUUCACCAUGUUCCCCAGGCUGGUCUUGAACUCCUGAGCUCAGGCAAUCCACCUUCCUCUGCCUCCCAAAGUGCUAGGAUUACAGGCAUGAGCCACCGCGCCCGGUCUAUUCAUUUUCUUAACAGGGUAUUUUGCUAAGAAGUUUUACAUUUUGGUGAAGUCUAGUUUUUCCAUUUUUUUAUUAUGGUUAUUAUUUCUUAUGACUUCAGAUUUCCUUCCCUUCACUUAAUUAAUGGAGGUAUUGUAGUAUGAUUUCUUUUACCUUGUAUUUUGAAAUUUUACCUUUUACUCUGUGGUCCAUCUUGAAUUAUCUUUUAUGUAUGAUGUGAGGAUGUGAGAUUACUUUUCUUCAUAUGAAAAUGCAAUUUUUCCACCUUCCAUUCUUGAAGAAAUUAACUUUCCCCAUUUGACUGUUUUGGUGUAUUGGACAGUAAGUUUAAAAAUAUGUUUUAAAAAGUAUUUGCCAUGUUUAAAAAAUUUUUAGAAAGAAAGGCCACAUUCUUGUCUUUUUCCUUAUCUUGGAGGAAAAGGCUUCAACUUUUCACAUUGAGUAUGAUGUUAGCUGUUGGAUUGUCAUACAUGGAUUUUCUUGUUGGUGAACUUUUCUUCUAUACCUAAUUUGUAAUUGAUAAUAAUAAUAUAUUGUUUAUAUCAAAACGGCUAAAAAAAGGAUUUUAGAUGCUCUCACCACAAAGAAAUGAUAGUAUUUGGGUGUGAUAAAUAUGUUAAUUGACCAUAUUUGAUUAUUCCACAAUGUACAUGUAACAAAACACCACAUUGUACCCCAUAAAUAUAUAAAAUUAUUAUUUGCAAUUAGAAAUAAAAUAUAACUUAAAAAAGAAAAUCCACAACUCCUUUCUAUAAUUUAUGAAUGUGUGUCAAAAGUCUUAAAUUUGAUUUUAAAUAUCUUGCUGUAACUGAUCUUUACUGUCUAUUCACAGGUCACUAGACAUCCU